rnacentral:rRNA from 1 species
AGCGAACGCUGGCGGCAGGCUUAACACAUGCAAGUCGAGCGGGCGUAGCAAUACGUCAGCGGCAGACGGGUGAGUAACGCGUGGGAACGUACCUUUUGGUUCGGAACAACACAGGGAAACUUGUGCUAGUACCGGAUAAGCCCUUACGGGGAAAGAUUUAUCGCCGAAAGAUCGGCCCGCGUCUGAUUAGCUAGUUGGUGAGGUAACGGCUCACCAAGGCGACGAUCAGUAGCUGGUCUGAGAGGAUGAUCAGCCACAUUGGGACUGAGACACGGCCCAAACUCCUACGGGAGGCAGCAGUGGGGAAUAUUGGACAAUGGGGGCAACCCUGAUCCAGCCAUGCCGCGUGAGUGAUGAAGGCCCUAGGGUUGUAAAGCUCUUUUGUGCGGGAAGAUAAUGACGGUACCGCAAGAAUAAGCCCCGGCUAACUUCGUGCCAGCCGCCGCCGUAACAC